UACGGAAGGCAGCAGUGGGGAAUAUUGCACAAUGGGCGCAAGCCUGAUGCAGCCAUGCCGCGUGUAUGAAGAAGGCCUUCGGGUUGUAAAGUACUUUCAGCGGGGAGGAAGGCGAUGUGGUUAAUAACCGCGUCGAUUGACGUUACCCGCAGAAGAAGCACCGGCUAACUCCGUGCCAGCAGCCGCGGUAAUACGGAGGGUGCAAGCGUUAAUCGGAAUUACUGGGCGUAAAGCGCACGCAGGCGGUCUGUUAAGUCAGAUGUGAAAUCCCCGGGCUUAACCUGGGAACUGCAUUUUGAAACUGGCAGGCUUGAGUCUCGUAGAGGGGGUAGAAGUUCCAGGUGUAGCGGUGAAAUGCGUAGAGAUCUGGAGGAAUACCGGUGGCGAAGGCGGCCCCUGGGACGAGACUGACGCUCAGGUGCGAAAGCGUGGGGAGCGAAACAGGAUUAGGAUACC
rnacentral:rRNA from 1 species